rnacentral:rRNA from 1 species
GAUGAACGCUGGCGGCGUGCUUAAUACAUGCAAGUCGAACGAAGAGUCUUUGUAGCAAUACGAGGGCUUCUUAGUGGCGAACGGGUGCGUAACGCGUUGGUGACCUGCCCCGAAGUGUGGGAUAACAGUUCGAAAGGACUGCUAAUACCGCAUGUGGACACGAGGGUUAGAGGCUUUGUGUCUAAAGCAGUAAUGCGCUUUGGGAGGGACCUGCGUCCCAUCAGCUAGUUGGUGAGGUAACGGCCCACCAAGGCUUCGACGGGUAGGGGACCUGAGAGGGUGGUCCCCAACACUGGCACUGAAACACGGGCCAGACACCUACGGGUGGGAGCAGUAGGGAAUAUUGGGCAAUGGGCGAAAGCCUGACCCAGCAACGCCGCGUGCAUGAUGAAGGUCUUCGGAUCGUAAAAUGCUUUUCUGAGAGAUGAGAAAGGACAGUAUCUCAGGAAUAAGUCUCGGCUAACUACGUGCCAGCCGCCGCCGUAAGAC